rnacentral:rRNA from 1 species
AGAGUUUGAUCAUGGCUCAGGAUGAACGCUAGCGGCAGGCUUAACACAUGCAAGUCGAGGGGCAGCGGGAUGUAGCAAUACAUUGCCGGCGACCGGCGGAUGGGUGCGUAACGCGUAUGCAACCUACCUUAUACAGGGGAAUAACCUUUCGAAAGGGAGACUAACACCCCAUAGUAUUGAUUUAAGGCAUCUUUAGAUUAAUUAAAUAUUUAUAGGUAUAAGAUGGGCAUGCGUAUGAUUAGCUAGUUGGUAAGGUAACGGCUUACCAAGGCGACGAUCAUUAGGGGUUCUGAGAGGAAGGUCCCCCACACUGGUACUGAGACACGGACCAGACUCCUACGGGAGGCAGCAGUGAGGAAUAUUGGUCAAUGGGCGCAAGCCUGAACCAGCCAUGCCGCGUGCAGGAAGACGGCCUUAUGGGUUGUAAACUGCUUUUACAUAAGACUAACCGUAUAUUUGCGAAUAUACCUGAAUGUAUUAUGAGAAUAAGGAUCGGCUAACUCCGUGCCAGCCGCCGC